rnacentral:rRNA from 1 species
AUUGAACGCUGGCGGCAUGCCUUACACAUGCAAGUCGAACGGCAGCACGGGAGCAAUCCUGGUGGCGAGUGGCGAACGGGUGAGUAAUAUAUCGGAACGUGCCCGGUCGUGGGGGAUAACGUAGCGAAAGCUACGCUAAUACCGCAUACGAUCUACGGAUGAAAGCGGGGGAUCGCAAGACCUCGCGCGAUUGGAGCGGCCGAUAUCAGAUUAGGUAGUUGGUGGGGUAAAGGCUCACCAAGCCAACGAUCUGUAGCUGGUCUGAGAGGACGACCAGCCACACUGGAACUGAGACACGGUCCAGACUCCUACGGGAGGCAGCAGUGGGGAAUUUUGGACAAUGGACGCAAGUCUGAUCCAGCCAUUCCGCGUGCAGGAUGAAGGCCCUCGGGUUGUAAACUGCUUUUGUACGGAACGAAAAGGUUUCUCUUAAUACUAGGAGCUCAUGACGGUACCGUAAGAAUAAGCACCGGCUAACUACGUGCCAGCAGCCG